CGCUGCUUGUUAGUCGACUCCGAGGCUCCCUAAUGCCAGUGUCUAUUCCAAAUACUCCAACUUAUCAAUAGUGGAACAAUUCAAAACGUGUUCAUAACAAAAAGUGUACAUUUUGUAUAUUGGAGGCAAAGUGACAAAAAAUCUAGUACAGAAUACGAGUGAUUAAAAAUGUUUUUGCUAAAAUGGGAUUUUAUAGACAGUUUGUAAAACGACUGUGAAUUUGAGGAUAUCUGAAUGUAAGUGAUAGGUCGAGCGCUGGCAGCAUGGCGCGGCGAGUCCGUCGCGUCACGAUGACGUGACGAUGUCGCGACGGCGGCGCCCCCUCGCGUCCCGCGCCCGGGGCUUCGUGCGGCAACUACUCGCGUUCCUCUUCAGCAACGUCGGCGUCAUCGUGCUCGUCGUUGGGUAUACCAUUGCUGGUGCAUUCAUGUUCCAAGCUAUCGAGGGAGCGAGCGAAAUGGAGCGAGUGAACCUUAUGGCGGCAGAAAGGAACAGCACAGCGCACUAUUUGUGGCAGAACGUUACGUUGACGCUCAAUCUCUUCAAUGAAACUGCUUUAAAAGACAGAAUAAGUAUAGAACUUCAGCGGUACCAAGUGAAGGUAGUGUUCGCGGUGCGACGAGGCUGGGACGGCGGGCGCUCCUCGCGACAGUGGAGCUUCUCCGGCGCCUUCCUCUACUGCCUCACCGUCAUCACGACCAUAGGGUAUGGACACCUAUCCCCUCGCACCAGCUGGGGUAAGAUCAUCACCGUCCUCUACACGCUGCUGGGGAUGCCGCUGUUUCUGCUUUACCUGAGUAAUUUAGGGGAGCUUCUGGCGCAAUGGUGCAAGUGUCUGUACGCGCUGGUCUGUCUCUGCCGGGGCUGUCCAGGGUUCACCCGUCGGAGGGUCGCCAGGCUCAGAGCUCAGAUAGACAAUAAUAUAAGCGAGGCGGAGAGCAUCGAGCGACCUGAAGACUGGUCGUCGUCAGAAGUCAUGCAGUACCGGCCACACUCCGGACCACCGCACUUUCAAAGAAGACCAGAAUAUUUACGCAGCGUAUCAAUGCCACAACCGUAUGAUCACCAUUUGAACCAUAGAGAUAUUAGAUUCCCAAUAUACGACAGAGACAAUAGAAUAGAUCCCAGAAUAAGAAGUUACACUUUGGACCCCAGGGAUCCUAGAUUGAGAGGUCAUUCAAGGGACCCUAUAAUGGCGUAUGGAGAUCCCAGAUAUUUGAGAAAUUCGACAAUAGACCCUAGGUUUAGAGGUCGGAUACCACCUAGGGAUGUCAGAGAAGGUUGGGUAGAUCCAAGAUUGCUACAUACAAGGGAUCCUAGAUUGCGAUGUUGGCUUGACCCUAGGGACGAUAUGCUGAGGGACUUAGAUCCGAGGUUCAGGGGCUGGUCGGAGCCGCUGAGACGCGAGGCUGCGAGCUCCAGCGAGUUCAGCUACAUUACCUUCGACGCUCAAACUAUCACAGUACCCAUUAGUGUAUGCGUGUUUAUUAUGGUUGGAUACAUAAUAUUUGGCUCAAUGAUAUUUGGAUUAUGGGAAAAAUGGGACCAACUAGACGGAGCAUACUUUUGCUUCAUAUCGCUCAGUAGUAUCGGGUUCGGCGACAUCGUGCCGGGCGAGCGCGUAUACACGCCGCGCGUGGAGACCUCCUUCAUCGUGUGCUCACUGUACCUCAUGCUGGGCAUGGCGCUCGUGGCCAUGUGCUUCAACCUCAUGCAGGUAUAUCAUCAUCGUGUGCUCACUGUACCUCAUGCUGAGCAUGGAGCUCGUGGCCAUGUGCUUCAACCUCAUGCAGGUAUAUCAUCAUCGUGUGCUCACUGUACCUCAUGCUGAGCAUGGAGCUCGUGGCCAUGUGCUUCAACCUCAUGCAGGUAUAUCAUCAUCGUGUGCUCACUGUACCUCAUGCUGAGCAUGGAGCUCGUGGCCAUGUGCUUCAACCUCAUGCAGGUAUAUCAUCAUCGUGUGCUCACUGUACCUCAUGCUGAGCAUGGAGCUCGUGGCCAUGUGCUUCAACCUCAUGCAGGAGCAAGUAAUACAUUACGUGGCGGGCCUCAAGCGCGCUGCACGAAGAAUAUGUAGGUGCAAGAGAUGAUCAAUACAAUACAUACACUAAUUAUUGCAUUAAUAAAGACCAUUUUAAAAUAA